rnacentral:rRNA from 1 species
AGCAGCCGCGGUAAUUCCAGCUCCAAUAGCGUAUAUUAAAGUUGUUGCAGUUAAAAAGCUCGUAGUUGAAUUUCGGGAUUAGUAAGUUGGUCGUGCCUCCGGUAUGUACUGGCUUUACUGGUUCCUCCUUCUUGAAGAACUGUAAUGUCAUUAAUUUGGUGUUGCAGGGAAACAGGACUGUUACUUUGAAAAAAUUAGAGUGUUUAAAGCAGGCUAACGCUUGAAUACAUUAGCAUGGAAUAAUGAAAUAGGACGUUUGAUCCUAUUUUGUUGGUUUCUAGGAUUGACGUAAUGAUUAAUAGGAAUAGUUGGGGGCAUUAGUAUUCAAUUGUCAGAGGUGAAAUUCUUGGAUUUAUUGAAGACUAACUACUGCGAAAGCAUUUGCCAAGGAUGUUUUCAUUAAUCAAGAACGAAAGUUAGGGGAUCGAAGACGAUCAGAUACCGUCGUAGUCUUAACCAUAAACUAUGCCGACUAGGGAUCGGAUGAUGUUAAUUUUUUAAUGACUCAUUCGGCGCCUUA